rnacentral:rRNA from 1 species
UAUUAUUUAAAAUGUAAAAGUAAAGAUUGGAGUAGUAAUAGUUAUGGUCUUGAAACUCAAAGAAUUUGGCGGUAAAUUAAACUAUUCAGAGGAAUCUGUUUUGUAAAUGAUAAUACACGAUUGAGAAUACCUUAUUUUGAUUUGUAUAUCGUCGUCAUCAGAUUAUUUUAAGUUAAAAAUAAUAAAUUUCGGAAUAUUUCUAGAUUAAUAUGUCAGAUCAAGGUGCAGUUUAUAGUAAGGAAGAUAAUGGAUUACAAUAAUAUUUAAUUAAAACGGAUUGCUUUUAGGAACUGGAAGAAGGAAGGUGGAUUUGAAAGUAAAUUGAAUUAAGAUAUUUAGUUGAAAUUAGCUCUAAGGUAUGUACACAUCGCCCGUCGCUCUCAUUUUAAGGUGAG